AGUGAACGCUGGCGGUAGGCCUAACACAUGCAAGUCGAACGGCAGCACAGUAAGAGUUUGCUUCUACGGGUGGCGAGUGGCGGACGGGUGAGGAAUACAUCGGAAUCUACUUUUUCGUGGGGGAUAACGUAGGGAAACUUACGCUAAUACCGCAUACGUCCUACGGGUGAAAGCAGGGGUUCUUCGGACCUUGCGCGAUUGAAUUAGCCGAUGUCGCAUUAGCUAGUUGGCGGGGUAAAGGCCCACCAAGGCGACGAUCCGUAGCUGAUCUGAGAGGAUGAUCGGCCACACUGGAACUGAGACACGGUCCAGACUCCUACGGGAGGCAGCAGUGGGGAAUAUUGGACAAUGGGCGCAAGCCUGAUGCAGCCAUACCGCGUGGGUGAAGAAGGCCUUCGGGUUGUAAAGCUCUUUUGUUGGGGAAGAAAAGCAGCAGGUUAAUACCCCGCUGUUCUGACGGUACCCAAAGAGUAAGCACCGGCUAACUUCGUG
rnacentral:rRNA from 1 species